UUUGGUUAAGUUAGAAAGGGCGCACGGUGGAUGCCUUGACACUAGGAGUCGAUGAAGGACGGGACUAACGCCGAUAUGCUUCGGGGAGCUGUAAGUAAGCUUUGAUCCGAAGAUUUCCGAAUGGGGAAACCCACCAUACGUAAUGGUAUGGUAUCCUUAUCUGAAUACAUAGGGUAAGGAAGACAGACCCAGGGAACUGAAACAUCUAAGUACCUGGAGGAAGAGAAAGCAAAUGCGAUUUCCUGAGUAGCGGCGAGCGAAACGGAACAUAGCCCAAACCAAGAGGCUUGCCUCUUGGGGUUGUAGGACAUUCUAUACGGAGUUACAAAGGAACGAGGUAGACGAAGCGACCUGGAAAGGUCCGUCGUAGAGGGUAACAACCCCGUAGUCGAAACUUCGUUCUCUCUUGAAUGUAUCCUGAGUACGGCGGAACACGUGAAAUUCCGUCGGAAUCUGGGAGGACCAUCUCCCAAGGCUAAAUACUCCCUAGUGAUCGAUAGUGAACCAGUACCGUGAGGGAAAGGUGAAAAGCACCCCGGAAGGGGAGUGAAAGAGAUCCUGAAACCGUGUGCCUACAAAUAGUCAGAGCCCGUUAACGGGUGAUGGCGUGCCUUUUGUAGAAUGAACCGGCGAGUUACGAUCCCGUGCGAGGUUAAGCUGAAGAGGCGGAGCCGCAGCGAAAGCGAGUCUGAAUAGGGCGUUUAGUACGUGGUCGUAGACCCGAAACCAGGUGA
rnacentral:rRNA from 1 species